CCCCCACAAGAUGUCGACUUGGAGGUUGUGCCCUUGAGGCGUGGCUUCCGGAGCUAACGCGUUAAGUCGACCGCCUGGGGAGUACGGCCGCAAGGUUAAAACUCAAAUGAAUUGACGGGGGCCCGCACAAGCGGUGGAGCAUGUGGUUUAAUUCGAUGCAACGCGAAGAACCUUACCUGGUCUUGACAUCCACGGAAGUUUUCAGAGAUGAAAUGGUGCCUUCGGGAACCGUGAGACAGGUGCUGCAUGGCUGUCGUCAGCUCGUGUUGUGAAAUGUUGGGUUAAGUCCCGCAACGAGCGCAACCCUUAUCCUUUGUUGCCAGCGGUCCGGCCGGGAACUCAAAGGAGACUGCCAGUGAUAAACUGGAGGAAGGUGGGGAUGACGUCAAGUCAUCAUGGCCCUUACGACCAGGGCUACACACGUGCUACAAUGGCGCAUACAAAGAGAAGCGACCUCGCGAGAGCAAGCGGACCUCAUAAAGUGCGUCGUAGUCCGGAUUGGAGUCUGCAACUCGACUCCAUGAAGUCGGAAUCGCUAGUAAUCGUGGAUCAGAAUGCCACGGUGAAUACGUUCCCGGGCCUUGUACACACCGCCCGUCACACCAUGGGAGUGGGUUGCAAAAGAAGUAGGUAGCUUAACCUUCGGGAGGGCGCUUACCACUUUGUGAUUCAUGACUGGGGUGAAGUCGUAACAAGGUAACCACAAA
rnacentral:rRNA from 1 species